rnacentral:lncRNA from 1 species
GAGAUUAAAUGUAUAAAUGAGGCACAGGUGCAGACGGUCACCUUGCUAUUCAAGUCGUUCCUGAAAUUCAUGCUGGGUUCUAGUGGAAAUAACUAUUUUAAGUCUAGAUUUUGUGAUGUGACGCUAUAGUUUGUCCUGUCCAUGUGCUCCACUGGGCUUUAGAGAGAGGGUGGGAGGGGCAGUUUAACUGUUGGACAUUGUGUUCCCUUCUGCUGCUUCACUGCAGCUACAGUACACAGAGGAUGUGUGUUUGUCGAAAUCAUGCAGAGUCAGAAAACCCUGAAACAUGCUUGCUGUAUCAGCUGUAUUCCCUACACGACCGAUGUCCUUUGGUCUACCGGCGUCCGGCACCAACAUGGCGUACGUGGUACUUGGUGGAAGCUCACUUACUGCUGCUCUUGUUUAUGCUUAUAAGACAAUAAACUCUGACAGUGCGAGAUAUAAUGAAAGAAUUGCUCAACUUGAGGCCAGACCUAAAAGAGCAUUGGCCGAGGUAGCCUCUGUAGCAGAAGCAGAAACCACAGCAGGUGAGAUGAUUAAUGCAGAGGCUGAACAGACCCCAGAACCCGUGGAGGCAGCAACUGCGAUUGUAGAAGCAGUAGCAGCUGAUGCUGAGGAACCUACUGCAUCUGUUGCUGAGGAUGUCACUGCUGAGGCUGCUGCUGCUCCCAUUGCUGAAACAACCGUUAUCCCAAUGUCUGACCUACUGAGCACUGUGAAAAUCCUGGCUGGAUCUACAGGAGAGAUCGCAGCUGCUUCAGUCGGUGAUCAGCACCUGGUGGCCCCAGUGAGAUUGGCUGAGGAAAACAAUUCUAUGGAGGCCCUCAAUGGGCUGGAGGUUGCUGAUGUUAAAGCAGAGGUUGCAGUAGAAGUGCCUGAGGGAGCUGUGGUUGAGGAGACCAUGAUAGGUAGAUUGAAUCUGAAAACAGAGGGAAAAGAGCUGGAAGGACUGCCUUCAUCACUUGACGCAGUAGAAGAAAUUAUUGUUGUGGCAGAUGACCGUGUCGAGUCUGAGGAAGAGAGCCCUGCUGUGCCUGAAGAUAAUGCUGAAAGCCUCGCUUCAUCUCAAAAGGCCCUUGUUACAGAGAAGGAGAGCAUUUUGGAAUUUGAAGACUCAACAAGCCAUGUGGUGAAGCUCUCAGAAGAUGAGACAGUCUCUGGAGCUGCAGAGUUGACAUCAGAAACAGUCGAGGAAGUAGGUCAGGAAAUGGAAGAAUGUAAAGCAUUGUGUCACGAGCCAACUGCCACAGAAACUGCACAUGCAGAUCUCACAGCACCACCAGCAGACCUGGAGGACCCACUACAGGCUACGGGUGAAACAGACGCUGCAGAAGAAGGUCUUGUUAUGGAAAUGGUGCAGGAUGCUGUGGAGAAAGCUAAACCUGUUGAGGCAUCCGAUGAAGCUGUUGGAAGUGGAAAUGUUGCAUUGACCAUGACACAAGCCUGA